rnacentral:tRNA from 1 species
GAAGGAGUGGCCGAUGGUGGCGGACGUGAAAUCCGUUGUGCCUGCGAGGGUACCGGGGGUUCGAAUCCCUCCUCCUCCACCA